rnacentral:rRNA from 1 species
GGAUGCGAUCAUACCAACACUGAAGCACCGGAUCCCAUCAGAACUUUGAAGUUAAGCGUGCUUGGGCGAGAGUAGUACUAGGAUGGGUGACCUCCUGGGAAGUCCUCGUGUUGCAUUCC